ACGGUCGCGUUUUUAUCGCUUGUCACCAUGCUUGUCACGUUCUAACAAGUAUGUUAAGUUUUUUUUUAUGUAAUAGUCAGCAAACGAGCAGACGAGCCGCCUGAUGGGAAGCGGUCAUCGUCGCCCAUGGACAUAAGCAACAUCACAGGAGCCACUUAAGCGUUGCCGACCCUUGAGAACCCUAAAUACCUGCUUCUUGAAGAAUCCCAUAUUGUAGCGCAAAGGAAAUACCUCAGGAGGCAAGUCAUUCCACAUUCUGCACGUUCUGGGAAGAAGCGAGCGAGAUGCCCGCUUAUUCUUGGUGUGCUAUGUAUCUAAGAAGUGGGGAUGAACUUUGCUCCUUUGGCGGGAGGUGCGGUGAUAGAAACGAGACGAUGGCACCAAAUCAAAAAGUUCUUCCGAGCACUCCCCAUUGUACAGACGGUAGAACAUGCAAAGAGAGCCAACGUCUCUCCGAAGGCUAAGAGGUUCUAAGCCGUCAGUAAGUUCGGGAU